CACUGUCACUCCUACGGGGAGGCAGCAGUGGGGGAAUAUUGCACAAUGGGCGCAAGCCUGAUGCAGCCAUGCCGCGUGUAUGAAGAAGGCCUUCGGGUUGUAAAGUACUUUCAGCAGUGAGGAAGGCGGGUGUGUUAAUAGCACAUUCGUUUGACGUUAGCUGCAGAAGAAGCACCGGCUAACUCCGUGCCAGCAGCCGCGGUAAUACGGAGGGUGCGAGCGUUAAUCGGAAUUACUGGGCGUAAAGCGCAUGCAGGUGGUUUGUUAAGUCAGAUGUGAAAGCCCCGGGGCUCAACCUCGGAAUUGCAUUUGAAACUGGCAGACUAGAGUACUGUAGAGGGGGGUAGGAAUUUCAGGUGUAGCAGUGAAAUGCGUAGAGAUCUGAAGGAAUACCGGUGGCGAAGGCGGCCCCCUGGACAGAUACUGACACUCAGAUGCGAAAGCGUGGGGAGCAAACAGGAUUAGAUACCCUGGUAG
rnacentral:rRNA from 1 species